GACCAGCCCCCCGAGUGGUGGGGACGUUUAUUGGGCCUAAAGCGUCCGUAGCCGGUUCUACAAGUCUUCCGUUAAAUCCAACUGCUUAACAGGUGGGCUGCGGAAGAUACUAUAGAGCUAGGAGGCGGGAGAGGCAAGCGGUACUCGAUGGGUAGGGGUAAAAUCCGUUGAUCCAUUGAAGACCACCAGUGGCGAAGGCGGCUUGCCAGAACGCGCUCGACGGUGAGGGAUGAAAGCUGGGGGAGCAAACCGG
rnacentral:rRNA from 1 species